rnacentral:rRNA from 1 species
UGGGGAAUCUUGCACAAUGGGGGCAACCCUGAUGCAGCGACGCCGCGUGAGCGAUGAAGCCCUUCGGGGCGUAAAGCUCUUUCGACCGGAACGAUAAUGACGGUACCGGGAGAAGAAGCUGCGGCUAACUACGUGCCAGCAGCCGCGGUAAUACGUAGGCAGCAAGCGUUGUUCGGAGUUACUGGACGUAAAGAGUGCGUAGGCGGUUUUCUAAGUUCGGUGUGAAAUCUCCCGGCUUAACUGGGAGGGUGCGCCGAAGACUGGGAAGCUGGAGUGUGGGAAAGGCAGGCGGAAUUCCUGGUGUAGCGGUGAAAGGCGUAGAUAUCAGGAGGAACACCCGCGGUGUAGACGGCUUGCUAGACCAUAACUGACGCUGAGGCACUAAAGCGUGGGUAGCAAACA